UACAGAGGAUGCAAGCGUUAUCCGGAAUUACUGGGCGUAAAGCGUGCGCAGGCGGCUUUGCAAGACAGAUGUGAAAUCCCCGGGCUUAACCUGGGAACUGCAUUUGUGACUGCAUGGCUGGAGUGCGGCAGAGGGGGAUGGAAUUCCGCGUGUAGCAGUGAAAUGCGUAGAUAUGCGGAGGAACACCGAUGGCGAAGGCAAUCCCCUGGGCCUGCACUGACGCUCAUGCACGAAAGCGUGGGGAGCAAACAGG
rnacentral:rRNA from 1 species